rnacentral:rRNA from 1 species
UACGUAGGCAGCAAGCGUUGUUCGGAGUUACUGGGCGUAAAGGGUGUGUAGGCGGUUGUUUUAAGUUUGGUGUGAAAUCUCCCGGCUCAACUGGGAGGGUGCGCCGAAUACUGAAUGACUUCGAGUACGGGAGAGGAAAGUGGAAUUCCUGGUGUAGCGGUGGAAUGCGCAGAUAUCAGGAGGAACACCGGUGGCGAAGGCGACACGCUGGGCCGUACCUGACACUGAUGCGCGACAGCAUGGGGAGCAAACAGG